rnacentral:rRNA from 1 species
GAUGAACGCUGGCGGCGUGCCUAAUACAUGCAAGUCGAGCGAACAGACGAGGAGCUUGCUCCUUCGACGUUAGCGGCGGACGGGUGAGUAACACGUAGGUAACCUACCUAUAAGACUGGGAUAACUUCGGGAAACCGGAGCUAAUACCGGAUAAUAUUUCGAACCGCAUGGUUCGAUAGUGAAAGAUGGCUUUGCUAUCACUUAUAGAUGGACCUGCGCCGUAUUAGCUAGUUGGUAAGGUAACGGCUUACCAAGGCAACGAUACGUAGCCGACCUGAGAGGGUGAUCGGCCACACUGGAACUGAGACACGGUCCAGACUCCUACGGGAGGCAGCAGUAGGGAAUCUUCCGCAAUGGGCGAAAGCCUGACGGAGCAACGCCGCGUGAGUGAUGAAGGUCUUCGGAUCGUAAAACUCUGUUACUAGGGAAGAACAAACGUGUAAGUAACUGUGCACGUCUUGACGGUACCUAAUCAGAAAGCCACGGCUAACUACGUG